AGAGUUUGAUCCUGGCUCAGAUUGAACGCUGGCGGUAGGCUUAACACAUGCAAGUCGAGCGGAAACGAUGUAGCUUGCUACAGGCGUCGAGCGGCGGACGGGUGAGUAACGCGUAGGAAUCUGCCUAGUAGUGGGGGACAACCUGUGGAAACGCAGGCUAAUACCGCAUAAGCCCUGAGGGGGAAAGGAGGGGAUCUUCGGACCUUUCGCUAUUAGAUGAGCCUGCGUGAGAUUAGCUAGUUGGUGAGGUAAAGGCUCACCAAGGCGACGAUCUCUAGCUGGUCUGAGAGGAUGAUCAGCCACACUGGGACUGAGACACGGCCCAGACUCCUACGGGAGGCAGCAGUGGGGAAUAUUGGACAAUGGGCGCAAGCCUGAUCCAGCCAUACCGCGUGUGUGAAGAAGGCCCUAGGGUUGUAAAGCACUUUCAGAAGGGAGGAAAGGUUGAUGUUUAAUACACAUUAGCUGUGGCGUUACCUUCAGAAGAAGCACCGGCUAACUCUGUGCCAGCAGCCGCGGUAAU
rnacentral:rRNA from 1 species